GCGGGCGAGGCAUUGUAUAGUUGUAUUUAUUUCCUGAAAUAAUACAACUAUACAAUGCCUCGCCCGC